CCUGGUCUCUCCGGCGAGCGACCGCAGCCUCCUCCUGCAGUGGGAUCCCCCUGGCUUCGCUGCAGCAGCCUAUGUCUUCGAGUGGGGCCGGGCGUCUGAGAACCGGGGGCAGAACAGCAGCUGGUGCUACGAGCCGGGGAACAUCAGCAGGGCGGUCCUGGCAGAGGCAAUUGAGCCGGGGUAUCUCUACAGCCUGACACUCUUUGCCCUGAGCGACGGAGCUGUCCGGGCUGCAGGCUCUACAAGCGCUUACUCCAAGCAGAUCGCUCCAUUCCGUGCCCCAACUCUGCAUCCCACCCGUGUCUGGCCAUCCCAGGUGGAGGUGCAGUGGGAGGAGG